rnacentral:rRNA from 1 species
AGAACGAACGCUGGCGGCAGGCUUAACACAUGCAAGUCGAGCGGGUAGCAAUACCAGCGGCAGACGGGUGAGUAACACGUGGGAACCUUCCUAGAGGUACGGAACAACGCAGGGAAACUUGCGCUAAUACCGUAUGUGCUCUUGCGAGGAAAGAUUUAUCGCCUUUAGACGGGCCCGCGUCGGAUUAGCUAGUUGGUGGGGUAAUGGCCUACCAAGGCAACGAUCCGUAGCUGAUCUGAGAGGAUGAUCAGCCUCACUGGGACUGAGACACGGCCCAGACUCCUACGGGAGGCAGCAGUGGGGAAUAUUGGACAAUGGGCGAAAGCCUGAUCCAGCCAUGCCGCGUGAAUGAUGAAGGCCUUCGGGUUGUAAAGUUCUUUUGACGGGGACGAUGAUGACGGUACCCGUAGAAUAAGCACCGGCUAACUUCGUGCCAGCAGCCGC